rnacentral:rRNA from 1 species
CCUACGGGGGGCAGCAGUGAGGAAUAUUGGUCAAUGGACGCAAGUCUGAACCAGCCAUGCCGCGUGCAGGAAGACGGCUCUAUGAGUUGUAAACUGCUUUUGUACGAGGGUAAACUCAGAUACGCGUAUCUGUCUGCAAGUAUCUUACGACUAAGGAUCGGCUAACUCCGUGCCAGCAGCCGCGGUAAUACGGAGGAUUCAAGCGUUAUCCGGAUUUAUUGGGUUUAAAGGGUGCGUAGGCGGUCGGAUAAGUUAGCGGUGAAAGCCCGAGGCUCAACUUCGGAAUUGCCUCUGAUACUGUUAGGCUAGAGAGUAGGUGCGGUAGGCGGAAUGUAUGGUGUAGCGGUGAAAUGCUUAGAGAUCAUACAGAACACCGAUUGCGAAGGCAGCUUACCAAGCUACGUCUGACGUUGAGGCACGAAAGCGUGGGGAGCAAACAGGAUUAGAUACCCUGGUAGUC